rnacentral:rRNA from 1 species
UACAGAGGUCUCAAGCGUUGUUCGGAUUCAUUGGGCGUAAAGGGUGCGUAGGCGGCGCGGUAAGUCGGGUGUGAAAUCUCGGGGCUUAACUCCGGAAACUGCAUUCGAUACUGCCGUGCUUGAGGACUGGAGAGGAGACUGGAAUUUACGGUGUAGCGGUGAAAUGCGUAGAUAUCGUAAGGAAGACCAGUGGCGAAGGCGGGUCUCUGGACAGUUCCUGACGCUGAGGCACGAAGGUCAGGGGGAGCAAACGGGG